AGAUCUUCUGGAGAGUCCAGAAUGCAGACUGGAGACUCUCAGGAUCAAUGGUGAGACGAUCAGAGCCAAGAAACAGAAGUUCAAGGCAGGACAUGUCCCAGAGAAAUGUCCCAUCAGAUGACAGAGUCCCAGCAGAGAGCAGAGUCCCAGCAGAGAGGAAUGUCCCAGCAGAGAGCAGAG